GGAUGUAAGGGUGAUCUGACUGUGUCAUCUGUCGCCUUAUUGAUCACCAGGGUUGAUUUGACUGAUAUAUCUAGCUAGGUGGUUGCCCCGUUCUUCCUUCAUCACUCCACAUGCAUUCCUCCCAAAGCUGUGUGCUUGGUAGAAGAGGAUGACCACACUUGAUAGAAAAGGGCUGUUCUUUGGUCAAGGGUAUAUGAGUAGUUGCACUCCCCUGCUAGAACCUCCAAAGAAGCUCUCAAAAGUGGGACUGUUAGAGGAGACUAGGGGAAGAGGAAAAGAAGAAAAGAAUGAUAGAGAGUGAAUAAUAAUGAAAUACAUUACCUCU
rnacentral:snRNA from 1 species